GACGAACGCUGGCGGCGUGCUUAACACAUGCAAGUCGAACGGAAAGGCCCUGCUUUUGUGGGGUGCUCGAGCGGCGAACGGGUGAGUAACACGUGAGUAACCUGCCCUUGACUUUGGGAUAACUUCAGGAAACUGGGGCUAAUACCGGAUAGGAGCUCCUGCUGCAUGGUGGGGGUUGGAAAGUUUCGGCGGUUGGGGAUGGACUCGCGGCUUAUCAGCUUGUUGGUGGGGUAGUGGCUUACCAAGGCUUUGACGGGUAGCCGGCCUGAGAGGGUGACCGGCCACAUUGGGACUGAGAUACGGACCAGACUCGUACGGGAGGCAGAAGUGGGGAAUAUUGCACAAUGGGCGGAAGCCUGAUGCAGAAACGCCGCGUGCGGGAUGACGGCCUUCGGGUUGUAAACCGCUUUCGCCCGUGACGAAGCGUGAGUGACGGUAAUGGGUAAAGAAGCACCGGCUAACUACGUG
rnacentral:rRNA from 1 species